CGAAAGCCUGACGGAGCAACGCCGCGUGAGGGAUGAAGGCCUCUGGGCUGUAAACCUCUUUUAUCAAGGAAGAAGAUCUGACGGUACUUGAUGAAUAAGCCACGGCUAAUUCCGUGCCAGCAGCCGCGGUAAUACGGGAGUGGCAAGCGUUAUCCGGAAUUAUUGGGCGUAAAGCGUCCGCAGGCGGUCUUUUAAGUCUGUCGUCAAAGCGUGGAGCUUAACUCCAUUUCUGCGAUGGAAACUGGGAGACUAGAGUGUGGUAGGGGCAGAGGGAAUUCCCGGUGUAGCGGUGAAAUGCGUAGAUAUCGGGAAGAACACCAGUGGCGAAGGCGCUCUGCUGGGCCAUAACUGACGCUCAUGGACGAAAGCCAGGGGAGCG
rnacentral:rRNA from 1 species